CGUGUAGGCGGUUCUUUAAGUUUGGAGUGAAAGUCCUGGAUUCAAUUUGGGAAUUGCUUUGAAUACUGGAGAACUUGAGUGCGGAAGAGGUAAGUGGAAUUCCCAGUGUAGCGGUGAAAUGCGUAGAGAUUGGGAGGAACACCAGUGGCGAAGGCGACUUACUGGGCCGUAACUGACGCUGAGGCGCGAAAGCGUGGGGAGCGAACA
rnacentral:rRNA from 1 species